rnacentral:misc_RNA from 1 species
UCUCCGUUGGUGAACCAGCGGAGGGAUCAUUACAGAAUGUUACAGGCCCCUUGUAGCUUCUCAACCCACUGUGAACCGUCCCCCUGUUGCUUCGGCAGGCCCUGCUGCCGCUGCUGGGCGUGUCCCGUAGCAGUAAGCGCUGCCGAAGCCCCCUAAACAAAACGUUAGUGUUGUUAGUGAGCAUUUAGUGGAUUUCUAAAAUCAAAUUACAACUUUCAGCAACGGAUCUCUUGGCUCUGGCAUCGAUGAAGAACGCAGC